rnacentral:lncRNA from 1 species
GACAGUGGGGAAAGGAUGAAUAGUUCAUUUGGAAAGAAGGUAGACAGUGGCUUGUGUUGCUGAUAGUCAAGGCAGAAUCAUCUCCUCUUCUUGAUCUCAGCUUUCUUCCAAAGGAAGAAGAAAUCAUCUAUCUGAUUAAUGGAGAAAGAAGCUUUGAGAAAAUCCUUCUUUCAGAGAUUCUGGAACAGCUCUUUCAGUUUUGUGCAUUGAAGGAAUGGAAUUCACACAGAAGAAGCCAUGAAAGCAAGAGGACAGUGACAAAGGCCAAAGGAGCUCCCAGGGAGGAUUUCUGGAAGACAGGACAUUCCCAUAGCCAUGUUUCCCAAUAUCUCAGAGAAACCAUCAGCCCUGAACUAUCUUGUUUUCUGAACGGAGGAGGAUCUGUGUGGAAGUGAUCAUCAGCCAGUUAUCUCAAAGGGGUUUACCCUGAGAGGAACUGGGACAGCCUGAAGACUGAUCUCUCUUGUGCCUGCCAACCUAAAGACUACAGUAUUUUCUAAUAAUGGCUUAGGAGAGCAGAAACAGUUUCCAUCAUUAGAUAGAGAGGAUCAGACAAACCUUGGCUUUGGCCAAGGUCUGAAAGGGUUGAAUUGCUUGAUGAACAAUUUCAGUUCGGAAUCCUCAUAUCCCUCUCUCCCAACCCCAACCUUGUUAUUCAUUUAUUAAAUCAUCAUUCAACUUUAGAGCAAAGCAGUCCAAUCUAUUAUUAAGAGGACAAAGGAGAAUUAGUGGGUGAAGGGUUAUUCAGAGGGAGGGCUCUCAUAGGCCCAGGUCAAACCAAAUCCUGGGCUGACCAUCAUUGCUCUCUCUCUCCGGCAGGGGUUUGACCAGAAGGGUCACCGAGGAG